GAUGAACGCUGGCGGCGUGCCUAAUACAUGCAAGUCGAGCGAACAGACGAGGAGCUUGCUCCUCUGACGUUAGCGGCGGACGGGUGAGUAACACGUGGAUAACCUACCUAUAAGACUGGGAUAACUUCGGGAAACCGGAGCUAAUACCGGAUAAUAUAUUGAACCGCAUGGUUCAAUAGUGAAAGACGGUUUUGCUGUCACUUAUAGAUGGAUCCGCGCCGCAUUAGCUAGUUGGUAAGGUAACGGCUUACCAAGGCAACGAUGCGUAGCCGACCUGAGAGGGUGAUCGGCCACACUGGAACUGAGACACGGUCCAGACUCCUACGGGAGGCAGCAGUAGGGAAUCUUCCGCAAUGGGCGAAAGCCUGAAGGAGCAACGCCGCGUGAGUGAAGAAGGUCUUCGGAUCGUAAAACUCUGUUAUUAGGGAAGAACAAAUGUGUAAGUAACUAUGCACGUCUUGACGGUACCUAAUCAGAAAGCCACGGCUAACUACGUG
rnacentral:rRNA from 1 species